rnacentral:rRNA from 1 species
CCCCACUGCUAUCGGGAUGGGACUAAGACAUGCUAGUCGAGCGUCUCCAAGCUAUGGAAGAGACGCGGCACACAGCUCAGUAACACGUGGCUAACCUGCCCUUGGGACAAGGACAACUCCGGGAAACUGGGGCUAAUCCCUGAUAAGUGAGAACUCCUGGAAUGGAUUCUCGCUCAAAGGACGUUUAGACCAUGCUUCUAGGCGUCGCCCAAGGAGGGGGCCGCGACCGAUCAGGUUGUUGGUGAGGUAACGGCUCACCAAGCCUUUAACCGGUACGGGCCGUGAGAGCGGAAGCCCGGAGAUGGGCACUGAGACAAGGGCCCAGGCCCUACGGGGCGCAGCAGUCGCGAAAACUCCGCAAUACACGAAAGUGUGACGGGGCCAUCCCGAGUGCCAUCCGCUGAGGAUGGCUUUUCCCCAGUGUAUAAAGCUGGGGGAAUAAGGAGAGGGCAAGCCUGGUGUCAGCCGCCGCGGUAAUACCAGCUCUCCGAGUGGUGGGGAUGUUUAUUGGGCCUAAAGCACUCGUAGCCUGCUUGGCAAGUCCUCCGUUAAAUCCAACGAUUCAAUCGUUGGGCUGCGGGGGAUACUGUCCGGCUAGGGGGCGGGAGAGGCCGACGGUAUCCUCGGGGUAGGGGUGAAAUCCUAUAAUCCCGGGAGGACCACCAGUGGCGAAGGCUGUCGGCUAGAACGCGCUCGACGGUGAGGGAUGAAAGCUGGGGGAGCGAACCGGAUUAGAUACCCGGGUAGUCCCAGCUGUAAACGACGCAGGCUAGGUGUUGGCGCGGCUACGUGCCGCUCCAGUGCCGCAGGGAAGCCGUUAAGCCUGCCGCCUGGGAAGUACGGCCGCAAGGCUGAAACUUAAAGGAAUUGGCGGGGGAGCACCACAAGGUGUGAAGCUUGCGGUUU